rnacentral:lncRNA from 1 species
ACGAUUGGCCCUUUCUGGGAUGAUGGAGAAGCAAUCUUUGUAUAAUGAGACAGAACCAAGCAAUGCUACUGAUGAAGAGCUGACACCACCGGAUGGGGUGGGUGCCAAAACUAUUAUAGAGCAGGAUGAGGAAGAUGUUAGUGAAAUCCUAGAUGUUAGUGAUGAAAACCUAGACAACAGUGAUGAACAAACACAUGAUCAUAUAUGAUUAUAAACUAUGCAAUACCUAAAGAACACAGAUUGCACCUCUUUACCCUAUUCCCUUUAAAUUGGAGUGUAAAACAGUAUGUAACAGACAAUAAAGCAGUUAGUUAUAAA